GACGAACGCUGGCGGCGUGCUUAACACAUGCAAGUCGAACGGUAAGGCCCUUCGGGGUACACGAGUGGCGAACGGGUGAGUAACACGUGGGUGAUCUGCCCUGCACUUCGGGAUAAGCCUGGGAAACUGGGUCUAAUACCGGAUAGGACUCCGGACUGCAUGGUCGGGGGUGGAAAGCUUUUGCGGUGUGGGAGGGGCCCGCGGCCUAUCAGCUUGUUGGUGGGGUGAUGGCCUACCAAGGCGACGACGGGUAGCCGGCCUGAGAGGGUGACCGGCCACACUGGGACUGAGAUACGGCCCAGACUCCUACGGGAGGCAGCAGUGGGGAAUAUUGCACAAUGGGCGCAAGCCUGAUGCAGCGACGCCGCGUGAGGGAUGACGGCCUUCGGGUUGUAAACCUCUUUCAGCAUCGACGAAGCGAAAGUGACGGUAGGUGCAGAAGAAGGACCGGCCAACUACGUGCCAGCAGCCGCCGUAA
rnacentral:rRNA from 1 species